rnacentral:snRNA from 1 species
AUUGCUUCUUGGCCUUCUGAAAAGAUCAAGUAUUAUAUAUACGUUUACCAGCUUACUGUCUGCUGCAUUCUCUAUCUGAGGACAAGACUUUAAGUGGAUUGGGGGGGAGGGGAGGUAGGAUAGGAACUUGCUUCAUCCACUUCACACAUAGCCCUGAUAUUAUACUACCUCCAGAAAUGGUACACCCCCU